rnacentral:rRNA from 1 species
AGCAGCCGCGGUAAUUCCAGCUCCAAUAGCGUAUAUUAAAGUUGUUGCAGUUAAAAAGCUCGUAGUUGAAUUUCGGGAUUGACGUGAUGGUCGUGCCUUAAGGGGUAUGAACUGUCGCAGUUGAUUUCUCACCUUCUGGAGAAGCAUGAUGUCCUUAAUUGGGUGUCAUGUGGAACCAGGACCUUUACCUUGAAAAAAUUAGAGUGUUUAAAGCAGGCAUUUUGCUCGAAUACAUUAGCAUGGAAUAAUAGAAUAGGACGGCAUGGUUCUAUUUUGUUGGUUUCUAGGAUCACCGUAAUGAUUAAUAGGGAUGGUUGGGGGCAUUAGUAUUCAAUUGUCAGAGGUGAAAUUCUUGGAUUUAUUGAAGACUAACUACUGCGAAAGCAUUUGCCAAGGAUGUUUUCAUUAAUCAAGAACGAAAGUUAGGGGAUCGAAGACGAUCAGAUACCGUCGUAGUCUUAACCAUAAACUAUGCCGACUAGGAAUCAGACGAUGUUAAUUUUUAAUGACUUCG